UGUGCUCGUCUGUCUCCCGAGGGGACAUUGGUCUCCCCCCGGAAGCUCGCUUCCCUGCGGGAUCUGAGAGCUGCCGGCCUCCGGUUCGCUCCGCUUUGCGGCCGCGGGGGGACGGGGUGGGCCUCGGAGCCCCUUGCGCGCGGCCAGGCGUGGGAAGCGGGGCUUGGCCUGUUGCCCCCUCACUGAUUGGUAGGAGCCCCUGCUGCACUGCGGGCGCGAAGCUUCUGCCGCUAGGCGUCCUGGCCUUCGGCGCUCCGGCCGCGGGCCUCCCUCUGGUCGUGCUCCUUCCCGCGCCCACAAGUGCCUCGUUCCCUGCAGCGCUUAGCGCUUCGCGAGGGAUCCGAGAAGCCUUGCGCGCCCAGCUCUGAGCACCUUCUAGCUUCUUCCCGGAAACCGCGCCUUAGCUUUCGCGCGGAGAGCCGGGCCCACCUCAAAUCGAAGUCACGUGUGGGCGAGGGGAAGGCUCCUUGUUCCCUCCGUGGGAUCCAGUGGCUCCUCAACCACUGACGGAUGGGGAAGGUGGUCCUGUGACACUGCCCGCGACGUGUCACGGGGCCGGAGGGGGAGGCCCGGUUCUGGGCCCGCGGAUUCCGGCCUCUAAUGCCUCAGCUUUACCUUGGGGCUCGAACGUGGCACUUAGGUUUGCUGAAUUUGUUAUUCCAACGGCUUGUAGAUUCUUCUGGAUUCACUGGGCUCGCAAGUGCAAGUCGUGUCCGCAAAUCAGGAGGGCGCUUCUCCUCCCUUCGUUCAUGGCUGGGACCCGCCGCCCGUGUGACCCGGGGGGAGGGGAGGGGGAGGCGGUGUUCCCCUGCUGCUUGCAAGAGGAGGGAGUGCGCAUGUCCUCACCCGCGAUGGUCCCGGUUGUUCUGAACCCCGAGUCUGACUCACCUUCCCCUCAGUCCGUAAUUUGCAGCUUCUAUUAUGAACAUUUGUGCUUUUCUGUACCUGGGGAGCUAACGCCAUGGUUCUUCUACUUGGUGGACAUGGUCAAUUACGUCGCUGUUGUUAUUGUUGUUGUUGUUUUUAACGUUGAACCAACCUUUUUAUUCCUGGAAUAAACCCCACCCGGUCCCGAUAGACCGCCCUUUCUAGACGUUUCUGGAUUCUGUUUGCUACUUUUUAAAGAAGGUUUUGGGUCUGUAUGACCUGCAAUUUCCAUCUCUCUGUAGCCUCUUUGCCUGAUUUGGCAUCAGUCACGCUGGCCUCACAAGCUGAGCGCCGCCUGUCCCGAGCUUCCGAGGCGGCCGGUGUCCCGUCUUCCUUAAAUACCCGGUGGCAUGCACCGGGGCGGCCAUCGGGCCUGGAGGCUCGGUUCUUUACUCCGUGUAGGACCGUCCAGCGUGUCUCUGCACCUGCUGCGUGAGCGCCGGGGGCCGGGCCCCACGAGGAUCGGGGAAUGUGUGAGCACGAGGCUGUCUGUGACGCCCCGUCGACGGCCCCUUGUCUCAUUUAUGACGUUGGAUCGUACGAAUUUGGCAAAUGCACGGAGUCACGUCGCCACGCCCAAAGUCAACCUGCUAACCCCCUGGCGUCAGCCCUUCGUAGCGAGGCUUCCUCUGCCCUGCACCCCAGCACCCGCCUGGCUCCCCAUUCCCAGAGGCAGCCACCCGGCAUCAUUCCUUCGCGGGGCCCCGCCUGCAGCCUGGAGGUCUGGCUUUUCUCAGUGCAACGCCUUUGAGAGCGACUCUGGGAGCGGGGGGCGGGGGUGUCCUCCCUCUGACCGGGCAGGCUCCCUGGAGCGGGCGUACCACAUCGGCUCACCUGCUCGCCAGCUGAAGGACGUUUGGGUUUUGUGGGUUUGAGGGGAUGGAGAAUAAAGCCACGAUAAGCUUUCA